GGGAAGAACAAGUACCGUUCGAAUAGGGCGGUACCUUGACGGUACCUAACCAGAAAGCCACGGCUAACUACGUGCCAGCAGCCGCGGUAAUACGUAGGUGGCAAGCGUUGUCCGGAAUUAUUGGGCGUAAAGCGCGCGCAGGCGGUUUCUUAAGUCUGAUGUGAAAGCCCCCGGCUCAACCGGGGAGGGUCAUUGGAAACUGGGGAACUUGAGUGCAGAAGAGGAGAGUGGAAUUCCACGUGUAGCGGUGAAAUGCGUAGAGAUGUGGAGGAACACCAGUGGCGAAGGCGACUCUCUGGUCUGUAACUGACGCUGAGGCGCGAAAGCGUGGGGAGCGAACAGGAUUAGAUACCCUGGUAGUCCACGCCGUAAACGAUGAGUGCUAAGUGUUAGAGGGUUUCCGCCCUUUAGUGCUGCAGCAAACGCAUUAAGCACUCCGCCUGGGGAGUACGGUCGCAAGACUGAAACUCAAAGGAAUUGACGGGGGCCCGCACAAGCGGUGGAGCAUGUGGUUUAAUUCGAAGCAACGCGAAGAACCUUACCAGGUCUUGACAUCCUCUGA
rnacentral:rRNA from 2 species